rnacentral:tRNA from 1 species
GUGGCGCAAUGGAUAGCGUAUCAGACUUUCGAAUCUGGGGGUUGCGGGUUCGAGUCCCGCAUCG